GACGAACGCUGGCGGCGUGCUUAACACAUGCAAGUCGAACGGAAAGGCCCUGCUUUUGUGGGGUGCCCGAGUGGCGAACGGGUGAGUAACACGUGAGUAACCUGCCCUUGACUUUGGGAUAACUUCAGGAAACUGGGGCUAAUACCGGCUAGGAGCUCCUGCUGCAUGGUGGGGGUUGGAAAGUUUCGGCGGUUGGGGAUGGACUCGCGGGUUAUCAGCUUGUUGGUGGGGUAGUGGCUUACCAAGGGUUCGACGGGUAGCCGGCCUGGGAGGGUGACCGGCCACAUUGGGACUAAGAGACGGCCCAGUCUCCUACGGGAGGCAGCGGUGGAGAGUAUUACACAGUGGGCGGAAGCCUGAUGCGGCAGCGCCGCGUGCGGGAUGACGGCCUUCGGGUUAUGAACCGCUUUCGCCUGUGACGAAGCGUGAGUGACGGUAAUGAGUAAAGAAGCACCGGCUAACUACGUG
rnacentral:rRNA from 1 species